rnacentral:rRNA from 1 species
UACAGGGGGUGCAAGCGUUGCUCGGAAUCACUGGGCGUAAAGCGUCCGCAGGCGGACGUGUGUGUCGGGCGUGAAAGCCCAGGGCUCAACCCUGGAAUUGCGCUCGAAACUGCACGUCUGGAGUACGGGAGAGGAGGGCGGAAUUCCUGGUGUAGAGGUGAAAUUCGUAGAUAUCAGGAGGAACACCGGUGGCGAAAGCGGCCCUCUGGUCCGAUACUGACGCUCAUGGACGAGAGCGUGGGGAGCAAACAGG